rnacentral:rRNA from 1 species
GACGAACGCUGGCGGCGUGCUUAACACAUGCAAGUCGAGCGAUGAAAGCCUUAUGAACUAUUCGUAGUGAUUGAGGCCGGAUUAGCGGCGGACGGGUGAGUAACGCGUGAGCAACCUGCCUUAAACAACGGGAUAGCCUCGGGAAACCGGGAUUAAUACCGUAUGAGACCCCGCCUUCACAUGAAGAAGAGGUUAAAGAUUUAUCGGUUUAAGAUGGGCUCGCGUCUGAUUAGCUAGUUGGUGAGAUAAAAGCCCACCAAGGCAACGAUCAGUAACCGGCUUGAGAGAGUGAACGGGCACAUUGGAACUGAGACACGGUCCAAACUCCUACGGGAGGCAGCAGUGGGGAAUAUUGCACAAUGGGGGAAACCCUGAUGCAGCGACGCCGCGUGAGCGAUGAAGGAAUUCGUUUCGUAAAGCUCUGUCCAAGGGGAAGAUAAUGACAGUACCCUUGGAGGAAGCCCCGGCUAAAUACGUGCCAGCAGCCGCGGUAA